rnacentral:tRNA from 1 species
GGAUCGGUAGCUCAACGGGCAGAGCGUCCGGCUGAAAACCGGAAGAUCCUGGUUCGAGUCCAGGCUGUUCCA